rnacentral:lncRNA from 1 species
CCGGCCCGGAGCUUCCGGCGCUCGCUCGAGGCCCAAGUCGAGGCCCGGCCGCCCCGCGCCGCCACCUGCCCUCCGGCUUCGGGCGCUGUGGCCCCCGACUUCCUGUUAUUAAUGUUUUUUAAAAGAAAAAAAAUGUAAAUCAUUACUCAGCUCGGCUCAGCCACCAGGCAAACCGUGUUUAAUAAAUUAGCGUAAUCUAUUCCGCAAGCGGCCUGUGAGCGCGGUGUUUCCUCCAGUUAAGGGAAACAUUUAUAUUCUCUCCGGCCCGCGCUCCGGGCGCCCCGGNNNNNNNNNNNNNNNNNNNNNNNNNNNNNNNNCGGCGCCCCCCGCCGCAGCCUCGGGGGCCCCCCUGCGCCCAGGCCGCGCGCUCGCUCCCGCGGGGGGGCCUCCCCGCCGGCUCCCCGGGAAAUAGGAGUUCUUGACGGGGCCGGAGGGGGAGGGGAGCGCGGGCGUCUUGAUGGGAUUAGAGGAAACCCCGCGGAGAUGAUUUAGGGGCCGCGGUAAUUCACUUAAUAGGGGCCUGGGGCGGCUCGCGAGCGGGGACGGGCAACCGCGGCCGCCUCGAAAGGGCGCGCGGCGAGGAGGGGAGCGGCCCCAUUAGCGAUAUUUAAGAGAUUUCAUUUAGGAACGAGCUAUAAAAGGCCGUACUAUUUUAUCCACCUGGUGUGGUGGCCUUUAGCUUUCCUCUGCGUGAAUAUUAAAUUUGAGAUGGCGCCGCAGCAACACGUUUUGGAGAGUGUUCUUUGGGCUGUUAUUUGUAUGGUUGGUUUAGCUUCUCGUUUGUUAACCUUUUAAAAUGAAUAUCGUUGAAAAUGGAUAACUGUGCAACCAGAACUCGCAAAGAUUAGGGGAAAUAUAAUGCGUUGGGGUAGGUUGUUACUAAACCAGGUAGAGGACUGAAGUUUUUAUUGAUCAAAACACAAAAGGCGUAGAGAGGGAGUCAGUAGAUGGCAAAUUACUCUGACAAUUCCCAAUUUUCAUGCAGAUUUGGUGAAGCUGCCCCAUUCAAAGCCACCACCCGCAGCCCGAAUGAGACCACAAAGCGGGGGACACAGAUGGGACUUGGCCACAGACACCCUGAAAAGUCAAACUCGCAUCGGGGAAAAUACUUCCAGAGAGUGUUUUCUUGGACAGAAAUAGGAUGUAGUAGAAAGCCAGAGAGCAAAGAUGUUCCAAGACAUGGGAAAAAAAAGGACCCUCUGCCUCACAUUGUCGAAAACACCAGCAGCAGCUAUGCUUGA